AAGUCGUAACAAGGUUUCCGUAGGUGAACCUGCGGAAGGAUCAUUAUUGUAUUGCAUGGCACACAAAGGCUGUCGCUGGCGCAAGCCGUGCACGCCCGAGUGUCACCAAAUCCAUCUCACCCCUGUGCACCAUUGCGUGAGCCACACUUAUGUGUGGCUUGCGUUUUUAUACACAAACCCCAUAACUAUGUCUUAGAAUGUCUCUUGCAGUAACAUGCAAUUAAUACAACUUUCAACAACGGAUCUCUUGGCUCUC
rnacentral:misc_RNA from 1 species